rnacentral:lncRNA from 1 species
AAGACACGAGGUGUGACCCGGGCUCCAGCUGCCACUUCUCAUGCUCACUGUCAUCACCUGCUCACAGGCAGACAGUCACCUUGCCUAAAGGCCGUUAUUCCCCAGUGUCCACAGCUCCAGUGCCAAGGGCUGUCCUGGGAAACGGAGCCACCCAGGCCACGAUGGGAUGAAAACGUCCCCUAAAUUCCUUCAUCUCUCCCAUCAGAUCUAUAUGAGGACAAGCUGGAACACAAGAGCUUCCCAUUUUCUGCCCUGCUCCUCUGAGCUAUUUCUGCCUGUGUUCCCAUGGCAGGACACUCGUGGUCACAAGGAGCAAAUGCUGCUGCAGGAGAGCUGAGCAGCUGCGUCAAGCAGGGGCUGCAGCCACAAAUGCACUCACCUGGGAAAGACGACGACUCGGCCAGAGAGUGUCAGGGAGGCAACCGCUGUCACCGGGGUCACCACCAUGUCCAGCAGCGAGGAGGAGGCAGGAGGGGAUGGCGGCAUGGAGCUGCUGUCAGAUGAAGCCCAAUGGGGGCACCAGUGCCCUGACGGCCGCUCCUCUUCUCCUUUUGUACAGAACACCCAAAAAAUACGGGCUGAAAGAAUAGCUGCCCGCAAAGAGGAGCUGGAGCAGGUAGAGUGAGGGCUUGUCCUCACAGCUUGGCAUCCUCACGCCUCUGGCUGUGCAGGAGGACCUCGGUCCCAAUCCCUCGGGUCCAUGGGACCCAACGCAGCCACCCCUCAUGGCACACCUGUUGUCUUGCAGGAGAAGCAGCUCAUUGCCCAGCUGGAGGAGCAGCUGAAGGCAGAGACGGAGCUGACUGAAGUAGUGUGGAGGGGCGAGAGGAGCGGGGCUGCCCAGGUUGUGCACCUGGAGGAGGGCUGCAGCGGGCGCUCAUGCUUUUGUCUUCCAGGUGCUGCGCAGGGAGAAACAGCGCCUGCGAGAGGAGCGGGAGGAGCUGGAGCUGGAGGGUGCCUGGCUGCAGCAUCAGAUGGAGCUGGAGGUGGAGCGUGAGCCUGGGGCUGUGCUGCCGGAGCUGGUGGAGGCACAGCUGGAGAAGAAGGAGCGGGCGAGGAGACGUGGGUUCUCCUUCUGGAUGCAGACCAUCUGCCUCAUCUUCGUCUGCCUCCAGCUGCUGCUCAUUGCUGUGCUGGGCUCUGCCCUAUUUUACGCCCAGCACUAUGACCAGGAGCUGCUCUAUCGGCUCCUGCUGCGGGUGCUGCCCCAGCCAAUGUACGCUUCCGUGGCGUACUUUGCAAGCAGGACCCUGCGUGUGGUCUGUGAUGGGCUGCUGCCCAUCUGACCACCCAGCUCAGUAACCCCUCCCAGCUCGGGGCUGCGUGCUGGGGCAGGGGACAGGGCUCUGUCCCCAUAGAAAUGGCCUCUUUUCUGCUCCUGUCCCCAGGGGCGCACAGGCACAGCAGUGGGGCAGUGCUGGCAGGCGGCUGAGUGCCACCACGUUGGACUUGUUGGAAAUCAGUCUGGACUGUCAUCGGGAGUCGCUGUCAGCUGAACACCACCACCUCCAGCGUUAGGUCCGACUGAAGAUAAGCACCCGACAGCAGGACGUGGCUGGAUCUACAAGCGCUGAACCACCUCGCUUUGCUGCCUCUCUGUCCCUCCUUCCCUGUCUUCUGUCUCUACUCUUGGUCUUCUUUCAUUCUAUGGCUCAUCAGAGCAGCCAUGGCCUGUAAUAAUGGCCUCUAACACUUCUUAAUCGUAAUUAGCCCAUUAGCCAAUGCUACUUCCAAUUGGUUGUUGUUAGUUGUUAAGAAAGCCCUCAAUAAAUACAUAUCUAUUAUUCCUCUCA